rnacentral:rRNA from 1 species
AUUGAACGCUGGCGGCAUGCCUAACACAUGCAAGUCGAACGGCAGCAUGGUGCAGUUUACUGUACUGAUGGCGAGUGGCGGACGGGUGAGUAACGCGUAGGAAUACACCUUUAGGACUGGGACAACUUGUGGAAACGCGAGCUAAUACCGGAUAAUAUCUGAGGAUAAAAGCUGGGGACCUUAGGGCCUGGCGUCUAGAGAGUAGGCUGCGUCUGAUUAGCUAGUUGGUGGGGUAAGGGCCUACCAAGGCGACGGUCGGUGGGUGGUCUGAGAGGAUGAACAGCCACACUGGGACUGAGAGACGGCCCAGACUCCUACGGGAGGCAGCAGUGGGGAAUAUUGGACAAUGGGGGGAACCCUGAUCCAGCGAUGCCGCGUGUGUGAAGAAGGCCUGAGGGUUGUAAAGCACUUUAGGUGGGGAGGAGGAUUUAUUGGUUAAGAGCUGAUGAAUUGGACGUUACCCACGGAAUAAGCACCGGCUAACUCCGUGCCAGCAGCCGCCGUAA